UGGGGAAUAUUGGACAAUGGGGGGAACCCUGAUCCAGCCAUGCCGCGUGUGUGAAGAAGGCCUUUUGGUUGUAAAGCACUUUAAGCGAGGAGGAGGCUCCUAUAGAUAAUACCUAUAGUGAGUGGACGUUACUCGCAGAAUAAGCACCGGCUAACUCUGUGCCAGCAGCCGCGGUAAUACAGAGGGUGCGAGCGUUAAUCGGAUUUACUGGGCGUAAAGCGUACGUAGGCGGCUUUUUAAGUCGGAUGUGAAAUCCCUGAGCUUAACUUAGGAAUUGCAUUCGAUACUGGGAAGCUAGAGUAUGGGAGAGGAUGGUAGAAUUCCAGGUGUAGCGGUGAAAUGCGUAGAGAUCUGGAGGAAUACCGAUGGCGAAGGCAGCCAUCUGGCCUAAUACUGACGCUGAGGUACGAAAGCAUGGGGAGCAAACAGG
rnacentral:rRNA from 1 species